AUUGAACGCUAGCGGCAUGCCUUACACAUGCAAGUCGAACGGAGCGGCGAACGGGCGAGUAAUGUAUCGGAACGUGCCCAGUAGCGGGGGGUAACUACGCGAAAGCGUAGCUAAUACCGCAUACUAUCGGAGCGGCCGAUAUCGGAUUAGCUAGUUGGUGGGGUAACGGCUUACCAAGGCGACGAGCCGUAGCUGGUUUGAGAGGACGAACAGCCACACUGGGACUGAGACACGGCCCAGACUCCUACGGGAGGCAGCAGUGGGGAAUUUUGGACAAUGGGGGAAACCCUGAUCCAGCCAUCCCGCGUGUGCGAUGAAGGCCUUCGGGUUGUAAAGCACUUUUGGCAGGGAGGCGGUACCUGCAGAAUAAGCACCGGCUAACUACGUGCCAGCCGCCGCGGUAAUUC
rnacentral:rRNA from 1 species